AGCGAACGUUUGCGGCGGGCUUAACACAUGCAAGUCGAACGAGAAUCCCUUCGGGGAGGAAAGUGGCGCACGGGUGCGUAACACGUGGAUAACCAACCCAUUGGUUUGGGACAACACCGGGAAACUGGUGCUAAUACCAGUUGUGUCGCAGCUGUCUUCAGGCGGUUGCGAGAAAGGCCCGCAAGGGUCGCCAACGGACGGGUCCGCGUCCCAUCAGCUAGUUGGUGAGGUAAUGGCUCACCAAGGCAAAGACGGGUAGCUGGUCUGAGAGGAUGAUCAGCCACACUGGAACUGAGACACGGUCCAGACUCCUACGGGAGGCAGCAGUGGGGAAUAUUGCGCAAUGGGCGAAAGCCUGACGCAGCCACGCCGCGUGAGCGAUGAAGGUCUUCGGAUCGUAAAGCUCUGUGGGGGGAGAAGAAGAAAGCCGGUGAAGAGCCGGCCCUGACGGUAUCCCCUUAGCAAGCACCGGCUAACUCCGUGCCAGCAGCCGCGGUAAAGU
rnacentral:rRNA from 1 species